GAUGAACGCUGGCGGCGUGCCUAAUACAUGCAAGUCGAGCGAACAGAUAAGGAGCUUGCUCCUUUGACGUUAGCGGCGGACGGGUGAGUAACACGUGGGUAACCUACCUAUAAGACUGGGAUAACUUCGGGAAACCGGAGCUAAUACCGGAUAACAUUUGGAACCGCAUGGUUCUAAAGUGAAAGAUGGUUUUGCUAUCACUUAUAGAUGGACCCGCGCCGUAUUAGCUAGUUGGUAAGGUAACGGCUUACCAAGGCAACGAUACGUAGCCGACCUGAGAGGGUGAUCGGCCACACUGGAGCUGAGACACGGUCCAGACUCAUACGGGAGGCAGAAGUAGGGAAUCUUCCGCAAUGGGCGAAAGCCUGACGGAGCAACGCCGCGUGAGUGAUGAAGGGUUUCGGCUCGUAAAACUCUGUUAUUAGGGAAGAACAAAUGUGUAAGUAACUGUGCACGUCUUGACGGUACCUAAUCAGAAAGCCACGGCUAACUACGUG
rnacentral:rRNA from 1 species